UGUCAUGAUAGCAUGUACUGAGUCGGGGCCAGUACCAGAUAAGCACAUUAAACUAUAAUCCAUAAACGUAAGGUAACAACAGAGAACUAAUGGUGCUGUGACAGCAACACGAUUGAGUUUGAGACAGUAAAAAUACAUAUGGUAUGUUGUAUCUGAACAGGUUAGCUUAUGAGCUAAAGUUACUUAGCACAGAUGAAAGUUAAAACAAAGACGUUUAUCAAACUGUUAAAGCACACAAACCAUCGUCAUAUGAGAAAUCCGACGCUAUGACUCUCCACAAGUUGUCCUUCAGGUCGUUAUCUUUGUAAUAUUUGUGUUUUUUAUCAAAAAGCACUCUGUUCUCCGACACGUAAACAAUCAGCCAGCCAUGUUGGAUAUACCGGUGAUUCAGACGUCGCAACAACACAAAAUCUUAUUGGUCCGAAGUAGAUACACAGUAUGCGAAACUUUAGAAAAUUCGACCGUGAUACGAAAAAUGAAUGUCGCAAUAUCACAGGUCAGGAAAACGUCACUGAUGUGAACGCUUGUAUUGACAGGAUACGGGUUUAAAAAUAUAUAUAUAUUGACAUCCGACAUAAUCACCCGAAAAAAGCGCUUUGUGUUCUUUUAUUGGAGAGAGCCAAUAUGGAAGUUUUUCUGGUACCAGAAAAUAAACUGUUUCUUCAAAAUUUUAAAAGCUGAGUUCAAAAUUUAAACAGUGUGAUGUCAAAAGUAUUUUCUUUUAGGGAAAUGCUUAAAAAAAACAAAUGUUAAAAACCUUUCAGUGCAAGAAAUACAAGAAAACAACAUCACUGAGUCAUUUCCGGAUGUGGAAAAUCUUUAUUGUCCCAAAGCAGCAGUUUGUUCUGCAACAGCAGUCCACACAUGAAUCAUACAACAGCACUGGAAAUACACAAAAUAACAAACAGUAGAGGACCUGGUUCGUCUAAAGGAGAGAUUUGGGAAAACAUUGGCAUACUUGUUCACAGUAAUAGUGGGAUACUGGUUUGUUUAUGAGUGGUAGGUACUGUUAGGUCUAAUGUUUGCAUAGAAAGCAUGUCCUCUGUCAUUACCCCAUGGUGCAGGAAUAAAUAAUAGAUUUCGAUCAGCUGUUCCAGAGUUUCUAACUGCUGCUAAAUCUGGCGAUGGCACCAGUUGAUGAUAUUGAGCAGCUAUCACUGGGAUGAGCAGCUCAGCAUCUGCUGCUGUCUGGGGACUGUGACAGCAGAAUGGAUAGCUGGAUUAAAACAUUAGACAGCUGCUGAUGAAGGACCCUUAAUUAGAUGGUAUAAGAAUAUUUAUCAUAUUUGAGACGGGUGACAACAAUAGCCUGAUUACUUGUGGAGACACAGAGAUAAGGACUGCCCUUACCUGCAUACACGUGGACAUGGACUGAUUAAUUCAUAUUUCAGUCUAGAUGAAGAUGAGUCCAUACAGCCAAGACUAACACUCCAUCAUUACAUCAGAGGGUUGAUGUCCGCUUAGCCCUCCAAUCAGCCCCCCAUUCGGUUUAGAUGACACAUGGUUUGUCAGAUGUCAGAACAACAGUCAGAGCUCUGCAGGACCGACCGAGCGCACUCUGUCACAACACGUCAAACCCGCGCUCUGAUGGAAAUAAUGAGCGUUACAUGACAGGGAACAAGCAUCUGGAAGCUUCUUGAGUUUCUCCUGGAAAAUCUUAAGACUGGAUUGAAGAUAUCUGGAUCUAGAUGUUUUGUUUUCCCUCGAAUGCCUCUAAAAAAGUAAAGUUUUCCUGAUUUGAGGGUCUAAUCUUAUGAAUGCUAAUAUUUGUUUACAACAGUAGAUGACACCGUUUAUCUGUGAAGUGAGCAAACCCCCUUUGUGAAGAAGGGCCAAACUGGUGAUUCGAUUGAAGUUAGGAUCAAACUCAAAUGAUUGACGUCUAGUUGUGUGUGAAGAUUGUCAUAUUAUCAAGUGUUGGUAUCUGGCCAAUCUCCGAACAUUGAGACAUUGUUGCUAUGUUGAAACCGUGAGUUUAAUUUCUUUCGGCUUCUUCCCUCAGACUCAGUCAGCCCGUUUGGUGGGACAGAUGGCUCUGAAUCAAAGCCUCGCUUUCACUUUUUGAAUACUACUUUUGUCUCUCCAACUUUCUCACUUUGGUUUUCUCACUCGACGCCCUCUGACUGCCCAGCUGUCAAAACCCGAAUGAGUGAAGAGUGUAGACAGGACACCUGUUAGUGUUGAAAACUGAUCUCUUGUUUAUGGGAAGUUUAAAUCAAAAUUUCAAAAGAAAACUUCAAGAAGAUUAGAUUUAGACGUGAAAUUACUUAUAUUGUGGCACCCCGGGAAGAAAAAAAAAAUCAGAAUAUUUCUCCACAGUCUUUCUUUUGUGCAAAGAAAUGAUAUUUUCAUCUUUCAAAGAGGGUUGAUUAGUUUACAGUCAUCAGCAUCACACCAUCAUCCCACAAAGAAUAAAACAAAGUAUUUAUAAAAGUACUUAAGACACAAUUUGCAAGUCAUUUGGAUGCAUAGCAGUUAGCUAGAUUUAUUUCAAAAAGGCAGUGGAGGACUCACGCACAUAGAAAGAUGGAAAAGAUAAAUGUCUUAAAAAGUUGGAUUCAUUUUAUUGCUAGGAUCAAACAAAUAAGCAGAAAGCGUUUCAGUCGACUAUCAUAAGUGCAAUAGUGAGAGGUCAGUCUGACUGUGUCUUUGAGUUCUUCUCAGUCAGACUGGAGAGAUUAAUUAGACACACCUGGAGUCCUUAAUUGGAAACACCUGGAGCCCUUAAUUAGACACACCUGGAGCUUCUUACACAGAGCAGGUAAUUGAGCCAGGGUGUGGCCCAGGAUGCAUUGUGAUACAUGACAUCAUAGCAAUCUAAAACAAAUCCAAGUGGCUCACUAUGGACCCUGAAUCUGAAAUAAAGAAUAUUCUAUACUAUUCUAUUUACAUACUAAAGCCAUGGACCUACGGGUUAUUAUUUACAUCAAUGAAAACAUAUGAACAGGGAAUGGGUUUAGCCAGUGCAAACAGACAGUCAUAAAAAGCAAGCCAUUUCUAAUUCUUCAUUUAAACCAGUGGCCAGUAAAUAUCACAGGAUGGGAAAACAUCGCUAAUGUGAACGCUUGUAUUGACAGGAUACGGGUUUGAAAAAAAGUAUAGACGUCCGAAAUAAUCACACGACAAACACGGUCCCGGUGUGAAAGCACCUUAAAACGGCUGCAAAAAUGAGCACUGAAACACAUUAGUCAAGAGAAAACUCCAUCAGGUGAUGAUUAUAGCACGUGUCAGCAUGACCCUUAAAGCUGAUGAAAGACAACAUAAGAACAGAUUCAAUAAAUCAAGAGUCAAACAUUAAAAAAAAAAAAAAAAAAACAACACUUCACCAGUCAGGAGUUUUCCCUCUGAUAUCACAGAGGCCGAAAAUAACUUCACUCUGAACAAUUCCCAGCUGACUUGCUGUCUGAAGAGCUGCAUCCUCCUCUCUGAUCAAAACUAAACUCUCCCUCUUCUCUUCCUCUUCAUCCUAAUUUCCAUUUUUAACCUCUGCAGCCUGCACAGUACUACACAGGAGUCGCUUGAUUCUUCAGACACGCCUCAUAUUUGCACGGAGGAGGCGUCAGUUUGCCAAUGUUACGGAAUAAAAGCUCAGAAAUGCUGCAUUGUGCGUCCUCCUCUCAAACAAAACAUCACUAAUGAUCAGCUACUCAUUCAAUAAAUAAAUCCUCAGUACUGUGUUUUCCUGCACUAAUCAUUAUACUUAAUGUAGGAGCUCUUAUUGUAAGCCUGUGUUUUUAUUUUUGCAACAAAAGCAUUUCAGCUGCAGAUUAUUUCAGUCCUCUUCUGUGAAAUAAUGACGCUUAUGUAACUCCUUAUACCUCCACUCCUUUCAGCGCAUCCUAAUUGCCCUUAAAUCCCAGAUGUCCUUGCGUUUUUUUUUUUUUUUUCCCCCUGCAAAACAAUUAGUUUAAAUGGAGCUACUUGUUUUUGUAAAAGCAUGAUAAUGCACUGAAGUAUCAGAGGAUCAUAAAGCAUUAAAACACGAUUAUAUAAAAGGUUUUCUGAGGACUUUUCAAGAGGCUGUUAAUGUGUCUGAAAAAGAAGAGAAAGACACAAAUCUGAGGGCAGUGUGUGUGUGUUGGUGUGUCUCCAUGCUUGUUUGUUUUCUGUGCACGUGGCGUGCAGGCUGCUCUGAGGUAUUGACGUAUCGAGCUGUGGGCCUCGACCCGAGCCAGGCCACCAAAUUGAGUCAUCAUCAGUUUAACGCAUCUCUGAGGCCGAUCCUGCCGAGACAUCAAUAAUUUACCAGGAUGGGACAAUCAUUUUGGGACCGACCGGCGUAUCGAUAAACAUGUCUCUGGAGAAGAGCUAAAUGCCAAAUGUGUCGUCCUCAGAACAGCAGCUCAGACCGCCAGAGUCUCACAGGAGGACAGGAAAUUCAGCCGGCUGCGAGAUAACAACGGACAGGAUUUUCACUCUCCACAUUUCCACUCCUGCUGGGAUAAUGAAGCUGAAAUAAUCAAUGUUAAACGUUUUAGCAAUAAACCAAAAGACAAGAAGUGAUGUCAAAGCUGUCUAGUAACAACACAAGCAUUAGUUUCUCUCAGCUAGAAGUGUCAACUUUGCAGAAAUCUGAAGUUUAGUUGGAUUUUUUGGUUGAAACUUUAAAAAAGAUGUGCGAAUAAGAACCUAGCUGCACAGCUAAGAGUGCAUUUUUUUGCAAUCUCUAUAUUUAUCUACAAUUUUCAGAAAAAAAUAAGCAAAAAUUCUCAGUCUUUUAGAAUAGGAUGUUUAAUUAUUAUUAUUAUUAUGAUUAUUUUGUUUGCUUUUAAAAUAUGAGUCUAAAAAUCAAACAACCUGAAGGUCAUCAAUGUCUUUUUCACAUGCGCGGUCAAAUUUCAAGAUUCAAGAGCUUUUCUCUACACAUCCAAGAAAUGCACUGAAAUUAAAAAUGGCAACUCCUGCAGCAACCUGGACACCAAAGAGCAACCUGAAAUUCAAAUAAAACUAUAAUUAUUACAUUAUCUUGAUAGUUUUUGUAUAAAUGCAUUGAUUUAAUCUAGAUAAAGUAUUAAACCAAGAGGUGUGCAUUUAUGUUCAAAUGAGCACGUACAAGUUGGUGGUUUUAAGAUGCAUUAAUGUCUUCAUUGGUAGGGUUAGGGUUCAGUUGGACUAGACUGAUAUUUGCUGGAAAAAAUUAAAUCAAAUACAGGGACUUAAAAUCCUUGAAUGUAAAUCUGUGAUUCCUAAAGGAAGUGAGCUAAAAUCCUACUUGUUAACAGUGAAUCAAAUAUAAGUUGAAUAAACACAUUAAUGCAGAUUUAAAGCCAUUACUCCCUAAAUCUAAUUGUUUCUGUUUUACUGUGCUAAGUAGAAAAAGAGGAAACCUCUAUUUCCUCCCUUUAUUCACUCGUACUGUAUUUACUUGUAUAUUUCUACAUGGUCCAGAGUUUUUCAUUCACAUUUCCCACAAAUUCAGUUUGACAUUUUAUAUUUUGGCAGGCUUUUAGAAGUCUGGUGUUAUUUGCUGUGUUUGCAUAUCCCCCUGCAAUAAAAGUCCUACUAAAAGCUCCAGAAAAACACCAAAGUGUAACAGGUUAAUAAAUCUCUCAUUAUGACACCUUUUAAUCUAAACAUUAUCCUUUACUGUUAAUCCGUCCUUUAAACAGUGGGACAUAAAUCCACUCACUUCAUCCCGGUAACAAAUAAGCGUCAUGGUUGUUUCAGAGAAAUUAACAUGCACAGCUGAAUCUCCUAAACAAACCAAACUAAUGAUUUUUGGGGCUCACGCAGGCUGAGUUUGUUCCCCCGUGUGAGUUUAAAGGUGACCUUUGUGUUGUGGGACACACGCCGCUCUGCCACAGCUUGUGAUUAACAUCUGCACUCAGUCUGCACAGCUUGAGCACCAUUAGAGGGGAAAUAUGGAGACACAAUGAGCCAAAGUACAGCAGGUUUUUUAUUUUUAUUUUUUUAUACACCUGCAUAAGGUAACUCCACAAACUUUCCAUAGCUGAUACACAUACACUGAUACACUCAUGCAAGCACCACGUUUGGACAAGUUUUCAGCAAUAGAGCUGGAAUAAACACAACUGACUGACAUGCUACUGAUUUAUUGUUUCUGUUCAAAGAAACUAACAUUAACAACAUUUGCCAUAAUGUUCUUAAUGCAUGUAUAACUUUAUAUGCAGAUGAUGCAGUUACUUACUUCUCAGCUCCAACAUUGAAUCAGGUUCUCUCUUACAAGAUUCUUUUGACAGUGUUCACAAACUCAAAAACAAAGCUGCACCUGCUUGAUUUUAAGAUUUUAUUUUACUUUCUGUCCCCAGAGAGCAUCUUGAUACUGGGUUAAGGAGUCUAGGACUACAUUUACAUGUGCCCCGCACGGACAUUUCACCCUCUCCGUUUAUAAAAAAAACAAUAACUGUGUGCACACCACUACAUUUUCAGAAAAGUUCUUGUUUACUCUAACCCAUAUUUAUGAAGCUCAAGCCCACGUUAGCCAAUCAGAAUCCUGCAUAGCAGCAACAACAACAACAACAACGUCACUUCCUACUUUUGGAAAAGACAAUAUAAAGGGAUUUCCUUAGCAAAAAUGCGACUGCUAUUCUGCAUGCAUCCAUGAUCACCAUAGAUUGUAAACAUAGACUGUAAACAACGUCGCAUUUAACUCAGUUUUCGGUACACAAUCUGCCGUCGGCUACCGAAAUCUCUAUUUACCUCAGUUUUUCUUAGUUUUUUUUUAUGCGCUUGACUAUACAUAUCAAGCCCGAUGCGAUUUUGCAAACGGGGGGAAAAAAGACACGUCCUGGGUGAAAGUGAGAAGACUGACACAACAUCAGACUGACUGUUUUUCAGUUCUGAUUAGACUCUAGUGUUGAGUUGGCUGUUUGUCAUGAUAGCAUGUACUGAGUCGGGGCCAGUACCAGAUAAACACAUUAAACUAUAAUCCAUAAACAUAAUGUAACAACUGAGACCUAAUGGUGCUGUGACAGUAUCUGAACAGGUUAGCUUACAAGCUAAAGUUACUUAGCACAGAUGAAAGUUGAAACAAAGACAUUUAGCAAACUGUUAAAGCACACAAACUAUCGUCAUAUGAGAAAUCCGACGCUAUGACUCUCCAUAAGUUGUCCUUCAGGUCGUUAUCUUUGUAAUGUUUGUGAUUUUUAUCAAAAAGCACUCUGUUCUCCGACACGUAAACAAUCAGCUGGUCGGCCAUGUUGGAUAUACCGGUGAAUCAGACGUCGCAACAACACACAAUCUGAUUGGUCAGAAGUGGACACACAU
rnacentral:lncRNA from 1 species